CUUUGCCAGACCCAAGCCAUCCUCCGUGAAGGAAACGCGUGUCCCCUGUGCUUCCAUCGUACGCGCGCUUACACAACCGCCUUUGUGACUCAUCCUUUUGGCUUCUGCAAUUGCGUUUAAUAAAGUGAAGGCUGAGGUUUCACCCCACAGAGAACAAAGCCCUCCUGGAUGCAGGACGAUGCAUCGUCGAGCCGUCCCACGAGCGGUGCAUUCCUGAGAGCCGCUGAGAGCAGACGUCUGCGCUGCCUGCACCGGCUGCGUGCACCCUGCGUCCUGCUCUUGGGGGUGUGGAGGAUUUCUAAGUGUGCUGCUUUGAGGUGGGGAGAGUGUUAAAGAUGGGCACAGGCUUCUGCUUCACACAACCUGGACAAAUACCUCCUGACUAUGACUUAGAAGGCAAAGCUCAGCUCUACUUCCCUGUGUCCCUUAAAUGCGGGUGAUGCCCUGCUGUCUGCGUGCUGUCUUCAUCCCAGGGCCGAAGUGCAGCUUUGAGGUACAUGGGUCUCGAAGCAGGUUGUAAGAUAAGGGUUGUGUAGGAGAACUGGUGCAGAGGCAGACCUUGCUGGGUUUCCAAGCCACUACUUACUGCUAUGCCUGGAUCUGUUGGAAUAACCAGGACAUCUGCACAUGAAACAAAGCUGUGCUUUUGCCUGCUGGUGGUGGCUGGUUUU